GGAAAGGCUGUAGCUCAGUGGCAGAGCAUCUAUUUGCCUUGCAUGCAGAAGCCGCCAGGUUCAAUCCCUCACUUCUCUA